AGGGCAGGGUACUGGGUGGAGGUCAGCUAGAACAGUGACUAAGGUUCAGGGCAGGGUACUGGGUGGAGGUCAGCUAGAACAGUGACUAAGGUUCAGGGCAGGGUACUGGGUGGAGGUCAGCGAGAACAGUGUCUGAGGUUCAGGGCAGGGUACUGGGUGGAGGUCAGCUAGAACAGUGACUAAGGUUCAGGGCAGGGUACUGGGUGGAGGUCAACUAGAACAGUGACUAAGGUUCAGGGCAGGGUACUGGGUGGAGGUCAGCUAGAACAGUGACUAAGGUUCAGGGCAGGGUACCGGGUGGAUUUCAGCUAGAAUAGUUACUAAGGUUCAGGGCAGGGUACUGGGUGGAGAUCAGCUAGAACAGUGACUAAGGUUCAGGGCAGGGUACUGGGUGGAGGUCAGCUAGAACAGUGACUAAGGUUCAGGGCAGGGUACUGGGUGGAG
ensembl:lncRNA